rnacentral:lncRNA from 1 species
AAUUUCUGUAGUAUUGCGAGAUGUUUAAGACUUUGUAAGGUUCAGAUUUGAAGAGUACUUGAAACCUAUUGUUUGCUCAGUUUAGUACUUGUAUUAUAUAGUGUAUGUGUUCAGUUUCAGACUUGUGUUUGUAGUGUUACAUUGGUGAUCUGUGAGCUGAACCGUGGCAUGUGUCACUCAGUUUGUAUGCUUGAUAAUUAGCUAUAUAUAACCCAUGUCCAUUUCUUGCUUAAGAACCUUGUUACAUUGUGUAGUAUUUGUGUUAGCGUAAGUACGUGUGAUAUAUAUUUACGUUUAUGCGUGUCUGUGAUGUGAUGCAUUUUAUGUUUUGUCCUACAUACUUGUUUCUUCCCUCUGUUAAAUGUUAAAUAGUUAUAUAUAUAUAUAUAUAUAUAUAGUGUUACUAUUCAUCACCCAGGAUGCAGAAUAAGUUAUUCUUCACCCGAGGUAAUCUUACGAUCACUUCCUAAAUAAAUUACGUUUAGAAUAUAAAUAGUUACAUGCACAUUAAUUCAAUAUGUAAAAUUUGGUCUAAAAAAAGUUAUAAGAUCAGAAAAAUCACAUUUUAUGUAUGUUUUACAAUAUGUUUUUACAUUUGUAAUUUUAUGUAACAUAAAAUAUUUUUUACGGCGAGUACAUAUUUUCUUACGUUCUUUUUUUAUGUAUGAAAUAAGACAAAAUUUACAAAACGUAAAAAUACGGUGCAUUGAUGUCAAAAUAGAGAGGGGGUGAAGAAUAACUAUUCCUCACCCAGGGUGACGAAUAGCGCGACCCUAUAUAUANNNNNNNNNNNNNNNNNNNNNNNNNNNNNNNNNNNNNNNNNNNNNNNNNNNNNNNNNNNNNNNNNNNNNNNNNNNNNNNNNNNNNNNNNNNNNNNNNNNNNNNNNNNNNNNNNNNNNNNNNNNNNNNNNNNNNNNNNNNNNNNNNNNNNNNNNNNNNNNNNNNNNNNNNNNNNNNNNNNNNNNNNNNNNNNNNNNNNNNNNNNNNNNNNNNNNNNNNNNNNNNNNNNNNNNNNNNNNNNNNNNNNNNNNNNNNNNNNNCCCUAGCCGUUGAUGUAUGCUUGUGUUAGCAUUUUAUUUCUCUACUAAAACAAAAACACCAAAAAAAGACAUUGAGUAAAAUCUGAAUCUACCUUUGCUUAUCUGCAUUUUCUUUGGCGACAACCCUGUUUAGUUUAGUUUUACUUUCUUGCUUUCAUCACCCGAAUCGUGUUACCUAGCUUUAGCCGAGCAUAGUCGCCGUUGCCUAGUCCCUGUGGGGAACACGACACUCGCAGUUCGGGCGAAAUAUCCCACUGUAUUUACAAUUGAUCAUUUUGGCGCCGUUGCCGGGGACUAGCGUCGUGGGAUUUUGUUAGGCUAUAGACUAGGUUUUUCUUGUUUUUCCCUUUGUGCUAUAUAUAUGUGAUAUAUUUCUAACCCGUAACCCUUGUUCAAGUUAUUUUCUCUUUCUUUGCUUGGUCAUUCUGCAGGUUAUUGCAUCUUCUCAGAUAUGGCUUACUAUUCAGAUCAUCAUGCUUAUGCGAGCAACACUACAAACAGCACGGAAAGUAUUCAAGACCUGAUAAGAUUUCCCAUCGAUUAGAUGAUUUAGCUCGGCAGCGAGAAGUAAUUUUUGAGGAUAGGCCUAGCUCUUAUGAUCCUUAUUCUAGAGGCCAUCCUUAUGUUGCUCCUACCUGCCAUAUUUGUGGAUUUCAGGGCCAUUCGCCCGCUGAAUGUCAGCUUGGCUAUUCUCACCCUCCAGAUUGUUUUGGUAUGAACUUCACUCAAGAGCUUAGCUCAUACCAAAACAAUUACUCACAUGGGUGGCCUGGAAACCCGAAUAUGCCAUAUAGGAGCAACAACCCUGAGAUCUCAUCGUUUGCCUCUAGUUAUCCAAUGCAGGGAUUUAGGUAUGAAGAGGAGAGCCACAAUCAUGCACCACAAUAGUUUUAUUCACCUCCUACUCAUAUACCGCAGCACCAGGAGAUGUGUCCAGUGGAGUUAAAUGGUCCUCCAUUUGGUCAACCAACAACUCCAGCACCUGUUGUGCAAUCUCUUGUGCAAGUGCCCACACAAGAUGAGUUCGGUGACAUAGACAAGCUCACACUUUUGAGUCUCGAGUUCACUUGGAGUGCCGAGGAUGAUCCUAUUAGGAAGGUUAUACUAGAGGAAAUGAAGAAGAUCAAGAGUGGGAAGGAGCUAGUGGAAGAAGUAAGGAAGAUUGAGAAGAACAUCAACGCUGGCAGUACUAUCUCUUCCCUCCUUGAGUUAAGUGUUGCUGGGAUAUCCCUUGAGGUGUGUGAGGUUCCAACACCGUCACAUCCAGCUGAGCAAGAUAGCAAGAGCCCAGAGGAAGAGAUACUUCAGAUUGAAGAAGAUGAACUAGAAGACGAGGAACAAGAUGAUGAAGAGCUCGAAUUACCAAGUGGUCAAGAUGAAGAAAAAAGAUCUACUACUCUUGAAGAAGUAAAAGAAGCUGCUGUAGAUGAACUUGAAGAACCAGAAAUUCAUUUGCCCAUCGUCAUACAAGAGCGUGACGUAGCAGGUUUAUCCAAUCCUCUCAAUGACAUGCAUCCUUGUAAUCUCUUUGAUACUACCUUGCAUUGCACGAUACCAUCACUUAAGCUAGACUUGAAAAAUUAUUUGCUUGGACAUGAUCAUACAUAUCCUGUUAGUGGCAUUACUCUCAUUUGUGAUGAUCACAGUUACUUUCCUCGUGCUAGUCCUAUGCUAAAUGAAACAUAUCAUUCCCAUGCUAGUCUUGAGGUUAAUGAUAAAUAUCAUCCUCAUGUUAGUGUUGACCUUGCUGAUUUCGACCAUCCUAAACAUGUGCUUUAUAGCUAUGCUUAUGUAAUUGGAUAUUCGAUUGAUGACUUGGAGGGUAUUAUCCCUACCACUUGCAUUUUCUCUCUCGUUGAGUGCUCUUUCAGGUUCUUGCUUCUGCACGAAUCACUACAUGCUGACCAGGUUCGAGGUGACAUUCCUUGGGACCCCGGUGGAUCCUGAGCACGGAGACGAGGAGAAGCAAGGAGCACACAUAUGGAAGAGAGAAACUGGAGCGUGCUUGUGGAAGCAAAAGGAGUAGAGCUGCAGUUUAGAGAGUGUCGAGCGAGUGCUACAUUAAAGCCCGGUGAGCUGUUUCAUGACCCCAAUCUUAAUAUAUCAUCCAUUGAUACAUGCUGAAAUCAUUUGAUAUUUGGGUUGCUUGAGCCAUUUCUUAAAUGUCGUCCCACUGAAUUUUACCUUUGACAUAUGAUGCUUGAUGUGAAUAUGUGAACUGAAUCGUGAAUGCCUUGUAAACUAGUGAUCUACAUACUGCUUGCUUUGCUGAAAUUAGUGAAAGUUAUUAGUUUUGAGUGCUCAAAUCCCUAGUACACUAGAAAACUCCAUCAUUUUCUGCAUUUACUUUGAUACACCUAGAUCAUUAAGUGCUAGAUGCUGAUUUUGUGCCAAGUGUGUUCCCAUUCAGAGCAAUCACUUAACCACUAUGGAUUAGCAUGCUAUGUUCUCUGGAUCGGUAGCAUGUGAACCAGACAUGGAUGGGUGAUGAUUCUUGUUUCCUUUCUUAUGUUUCAUGCCAUUGUAAUUCCUUUGUUUAAUAAGUAAUAAUGAAUAAAUAAUUAUCUGAUCUACCUAACAGUAGCAUGUCAUGUUCCUGGAUCGGUGGCUUGUGAAAUCUGAUUGGAUCGGAUAGGAGUUAAUUAUAUUUAAAAAAGAUGUAAUUGUCGAACCAGGUGUAUACCAUGUUCUCGGGAUCGAUGGUAUGUUCCUUUGGGGAGACAAAACUAAAAAAAACUAAUAAUUGGUCGAGCCAGGUGUAUACCAUGUUCUCGGGAUCGGUGGUAUGUUCCUUUGGUGAGACUGAUAAAAUAUUAUCAUUACUUCCUUCAAAUUUAAUAAGUGGUUCAACCACAAUGUUAUAUUUCUGCAAAUAAGUGAUUUAAUUCAAGUUCCUUUUGUUCUCAGGAUCAUGCUCUCUUUAGGAACCUUUUGGCACAGUCAGCAUUUGAACUUGCUAAUCUUCGUUUAUCUUUGCAAAAGUUUAAAAUGGUCGAGUUUACUAGUGUCCUAUUGAUAUGUAGCACUCUUAACCAUUAAUUUUCACUAGCCAAGUCCAAAGCAUGCAUUGUUUGGAGAUCUACUUCACUGGGACAAUCUCCAGUCAGUUCGCUGUUCACUACCUUGCUCUUGUCAUAUGCCUUUACUUGAGGACAAGUAAAGAUUUAAGUGUGGGGGAACUUGAUAAGCACAUUUCUUAUACAUAAUUUUGGCACAUAUAUACACCAUUUAUUGAUAUAUGUUCAUCCAUUCUUACUAUGAAUUGUGAUAUAUUUGGAUGAAAAUCAUAUAAAAGAUCAUUUACUCGUCAUUUGUUUCUUCUGCAGAAAAGUGCGCAAAGGCACUAUAAACCUCAAGAUUCUGACUAAGAGGCCGAAGAAUACAAGACAAGGACGGGAAAGAAAGAAGGGGGACCUGAGCAUGAAGGAAAGAAGAAACCGAGGGCCAAACUAGAGAAGGGAAGGGAUGUGCUUGCGAAGAAAGAAGGGAGCAGGAGGGCCAAAUCAAAAAGUGGCAAAUCUGAUCGUGGGAUCAAAUCCCUAGCGCUAGCCACCGAUCCCCUUUGGGCCUGGCCACAUAUCUCUCUCUUUCCCCUGCCUCCUUCUCCACCUCCGGCCGCUGGCGCGGUCAGGCCGGCGUGGCGGCGCGCUGCUGCAUCUCCAUUCACCACUCCACAUCCAUCCACCAACGCAUCCACCAGCGCCGCUGCAUCUCCCUUCACCGCGCCACCACCCAACCUUCCUCCGCGCGAGUGCCCCUGCUGCCGUCCUUCUCCACUCUCCUAGUGCCUCCUGCGGUCUCUCUUCUCCAUGCCCCCGCCGCUGCUUCUCUUCUUGCCCAAACCUUUCUGUUGCUCCUUCUCUGAACCUGCUGCUUCUACUGCUUCUCCCACGUCACUGCUGCUGCUCUUCUUUUCUUUCCCCUACUGCUGUCCUUCUUCUGCCUCAACCUCCUGCUAUUGCCUUCUCUCUCUCUCUCUAAAUUUCUGUAGUAUUGCGAGAUGCUUAAGACUUUGUAAGGUUCAGAUUUGAAGAGUACUUGAAACCUAUUGUUUGCUCAGUUUAGUACUUGUAUUAUAUAGUGUAUGUGUUCAGUUUCAGACUUGUGUUUGUAGUGUUACAUUGGUGAUCUGUGAGCUGAACUGUGGCAUGUGUCACUCAGUUUGUAUGCUUGAUAAUUAGCUAUAUAUAACCCAUGUCCAUUUCUUGCUUAAGAACCUUGUUACAUUGUGUAGUAUUUGUGUUAGCAUAAGUACGUGUGAUAUAUAUUUACGUUUGUGCGUGUCUGUGAUGGUAUGCAUUUUAU